GAUGAAGAACGCAGCAAAAUGCGAUAAGUAAUGUGAAUUGCAGAAUUCAGUGAAUCAUCGAAUCUUUGAACGCACAUUGCGCCCGCCAGUAUUCUGGCGGGCAUGCCUGUUCGAGCGUCAUUUCAAUCCUCAAGCACAGCUUGGUGUUGGGACUCGCGUUAAUUCGCGUUCCCCAAAUUGAUUGGCGGUCACGUCGAGCUUCCAUAGCGUAGUAGUAAAACCCUCGUUACUGGUAAUCGUCGCGGCCACGCCGUUAAACCCCAACUUCUGAAUGUUGACCUCGGAUCAGGUAGGAAUACCCGCUGAACUUAAGCAUAUCAAUAAGCGGAGGA
rnacentral:misc_RNA from 1 species